GUGGUGGUGGUGGUGGGCGGGGGCGGGGGUGACCCGGGAUCUCCCCUCCUGUUCAAACCAGCGGCGAGCUGGGCUGUAAAAGUUUUUUCUAUCACUUCACGGCGUGCGUAAAUUUCACGGGAGGUUUUAUUUCUGUUAAAUUCCUUGAAGCGGUUGAACUUCAAAAUACAAUAGCCACACAGCAUUAGUCUGACAUGGUUUUAAUUGUAGCGAAUCCCUCGGGUUUGGCAGAGCGUUUUGAGGUGCGGCUUUUCUGCUGUGGACAAGGUAGUCUGGAGGUAGCAAAGCUUCGUCCGUAACAGCAAACGCAGAUUUAUUCCCUUUGAUCCCUCCCAUAGGACAAUAUGUACAGCUUUCUCCAUUCCUGAAUGAUAAUACAUGACUGGAGCGAGGGAAAAAUACUCAAGGCAAUAAAUAGCCUAGCUUAGAUGAGUGAAGCUUUAGUUACCAGAACCUAUUUUUAGGGCAUAAGUUGAAUUUAAGUGGCUCUAAUCUUUAUAUGGGGAAUUGGCACGGGGUUUCUCCUGUUGUAUUUUAUUUAUAGCUGUUUCUUCUCCUUUCCAGGGAAAUAAGAUUAGCCUCAUUAUUUCCAUUAUUAUUAUUACUCUGCCAUUAUUACUAUUCAGUCCAUCCAUCCAUCCACCCAUUUAGGUCUUGUCUGGAAUUACCUAGGAUUAUCCUGCUAAUGCUUGUUGCCUUCACACAGAAUAUCAUUUUUGUUGCUAAGAAACUGCUUUUGCAUAACAGACAGCGUGGGCCUAAUUUUCACUUCAGCAGCUGUUCAAGUCAACGGGAGCAGCAGGUGCUCGGCGCUCCUGAGAGCCAGAGCCAAAGUGUCCGUGGCAGAAUUCCCACACAAGGUCUGACUGUGCAUGCAAGUGUGUCAUCUACGUGUGCGAUUUGCUUGGGGGACGCAGCAGCUUCAUGCUUGAAAAGAAAAGGAGCAAAGGUGUCUCGAGCGUCUCCAGCGUGUCUGUGCUGCACUACUGCAGUUUCCUGCACGCCGGGACAGGAGGAGCAGCUGCGCGCGCUGGAAUAUUUGCUUGGGAUGGAUGCUGCCCUUUGCAGUGCAAAAAACUCAGCGUUCAUUGUGAGACCAUGUCAAAUCUCGCUAUAAUCUUCUGUCCAAUUUUGUGACUGUACCUGUGGCAAGAACACUUUACAGUCCUUGUUCUGGAACAGUGCAGCCCAGCACAAUGAUACACCAGGUCCAGGAAGGGAUUUGCCACAAAUCAUCCCUAGAAAAUCAUGUAAUAAGAUAGAAGUAACUGCUCAGCUUGAACAAGGGGUGAGGUCCUCUGCUGUUUUUACACACAUGCGUUCCCUUUUUGGAGCAAGGUAUUUAGUAGAAAACAUAACUUCCAGGCUCAGAAGUGUGCGAGACUUUUGUCUAGACUUCAAAUAGCGAGAUCUGUCUCCAUAGGGCCAUAUUUCUCAAUGUGAUAUUUUUCAGGAUGGGAUCUGCCACUUCUAAUUUGUCCCAGAGAUUUCAACAACGUGGAAGCUUAUGGCUGCUUGUAAUGGUGGCAGAUGAACCCCAUAGCACUGAGAGGCUGCUGUAGUUUCUUUGUAAUUGUUUAUAUAGCUAAGAUCUAAACUUAGCUACAGAACAUGGUGAAAAAAAGCCUGGUUAGAAGGAGUGGGGACUCAAGAGCUUAGCCUCCAGCUAUCUUAGAAGAGGCUGGCUCAUCACAGAGAGAUCCCCAGCUGCACUUCCAGGCUGUAAAUUAAACAAACAGUAUUUCCUAUAUACCAGACCACAGGGAUGGUAGAAAGAAUAGUGUGGCCUUAUUGCUGUUAUUUCCUUUGGUUUCAAUCUCUGUCCUCUGCCCC